rnacentral:rRNA from 1 species
AUUCCAGCUCCAAUAGCGUAUAUUAAAGUUGUUGCGGUUAAAAAGCUCGUAGUUGGAGUUCUGCCAGGUGACGCUCGUCCGCCCAAGUGGUGUGUACAGGGCGUGCAUCUGGCCCUUUCAAGGGGAACGUGUCUGCUCUUUAUUGAGUGGUGCGAGAUCCUUGACUUUUACUUUGAAGAAAUCAGAGUGUUUCAGGCAGGCUUUCGCUUGAAUACACCAGCAUGGAAUAAUGGAAUAGGACUGAGUCUCUUUAUUGGUUCAAAAGAUUCAGUAAUGAUUAAUAGGGACAGUUGGGGGCAUUCAUACUAAUGAGUCAGAGGUGAAAUUCUUCGAUUUCAUUAAGAUGAACUAAUGCGAAGGCAUUUGCCAAGGAUGUUUUCAUCG